GCGCAAGCCUGAUGCAGCGACGCCGCGUGAGGGAUGACGGCCUUCGGGUUGUAAACCUCUGUUAGCAUCGAAGAAGCGAAAGUGACGGUAGGUGCAGAGAAAGCGCCGGCUAACUACGUGCCAGCAGCCGCGGUAAUACGUAGGGCGCGAGCGUUGUCCGGAAUUAUUGGGCGUAAAGAGCUUGUAGGCGGUUGGUCGCGUCUGCUGUGAAAGGCUGGGGCUUAACCCUGGUUUUGCAGUGGGUACGGGCUAACUAGAGUGCAGUAGGGGAGACUGGAAUUCCUGGUGUAGCGGUGGAAUGCGCAGAUAUCAGGAGGAACACCGAUGGCGAAGGCAGGUCUCUGGGCUGUAACUGACGCUGAGAAGCGAAAGCAUGGGGAGCGAACAGGAUUAGAUACCCUGGUAGUCCAUGCCGUAAACGUUGGGCACUAGGUGUGGGGGACAUUCCACGUUUUCCGCGCCGUAGCUAACGCAUUAAGUGCCCGCCUGGGGAGUACGGCCGCAAGGCUAAACUCAAAGAAAUUGACGGGGGCCCGCACAAGCGGCGGAGCAUGCGGAUUAAUUCGAUGCAACGCGAAGAACCU
rnacentral:rRNA from 1 species